rnacentral:lncRNA from 1 species
GUCCCAAGUACACGGAUGCCCCACUCGCACUAUCAUUUUCUAUGUUCAGUGGACCGUGAAAUUAGGGUCAAAACUUUAAUUUGGAAUUAAAAUUAGAAAGAUCAUAUCAUAGGGAACAUGUGUACUAAGUUUCAAGUUGAUUAGACUUCAACUUCUUCAAAAACUAUACCUUGACCAAAAACUUUAACCUGAAGCGAACAGACGGACGGACGAACGGACGGACGAACGGAGGCACAGACCAGUUAACAUAAUGCCCCUCUACUAUCG